UCCAUGGUGGUUGUAAAUGCCCCACGUGACUAAACACAGCUGGUUGGAGUAUUAGACCAUGAGACUGAUCAUCAUAUCAGGUGGGAGGCUCACUUGGUUUGUUGUCCUCUUCUAAUUGGCUAACCACACAAUUCCCACGUGGAAACCCACGUGGCCCCUCUAAGUACUAUUUUUUCUUUUUUCAUUAUUGUUUUAAGUUUCGGGUGGUAUCCAGCCAGAACUUCAGCUGCCUCAUUAAGUACAAAAUUUAACCAACAUUUAUACAUAUCCUUCAUAUAUCUAUAUAUAUCUAUGAUCUUUCUUCUACCCUCUUUGCCUACAACUUUUCCCAUGUGUUUAUAAAUUAUAUACAUACAUUUCUAUUCUCCAUCUUACUAAGCAGAUUGGAGUAUCAAAUAUUAUUAUAUUAUAUAACCAUUUGGUGACUUUAGGGUUUCGCGGCUACUGUUGUCAUGUUUAUGUAUACCUAUGCUCAGCCAUGGUGGUUUUAUUCUUCUGCAUUUGCACCUGCACCUGUAUCUUACUCCAUCUAUAUCCUACAGAGUGAAAGCUUUUUAAACUUAUAAGUCCAAUAAGAGAGAGAAAAACAAAGAAAAAAUCACAUACACACAAUAAUAGGCAAGAACUUCAAUCCAUAGUCUUAGAAGACUUAAUUAGAGUAUGCACAAACAUACACCAUAAAUUUCUAUAUACCCAGAAAACAAUAGGAGAGAAGAAUAGAAUAAUCUAUUUUUAUAUAUAUAUAUGUAGAGAGAGAGAGAGAGAGAGAGAGAGAGAGAGAGAGAAGUGUGUAUAGGUGCAGGUGCAUUUGCAGACGAAUGCCACUUUGGUUUUGGUAUCUGUGAUUCUGUAUCAUGAUCUGAUCAUUAUUGCUGCUGAAUAAGUUUGAAAGGUGAAAAUAGAUCCCACAUGGGCCUCUCUCUUUGUCUGUUUGUUCUGUUCUAGGGAACCAUUCGGUUACUUUCACCAAGCUUCUUGUAGAUGGAUGCUGCAAUCCCUACAGAUAUAUUAGAAUUCGGAUCCCAUAUCAACAAAUAAUGGCAGGCCAGUUAUAUCUACUUAGAAAUUUUGUUCCAUAAAAGAAAUAAUAAAAUAGUAAAAUAAAAAUAAAAUAAAAGCUGUAACUAAUUAAAUGUAAGGUUGUUCUAGUAUUGCGAAAAAGGUUUAGAUAAAACUCAUGAAUCCAGUUUCCUAUAUAUUUAAUUUUAAUUAUUAUUAUUAUUAUUAUUGCAAGAAAUAUUUGUGUGACAUAAAUAUUUAAUAUUUUUAAUUUUAUAUAUAUAUCACAUAAGAUUAUAUUUCCGUUA